UACGGAGGUGGCAAGCGUUGCUCGGAAUCACUGGGCGUAAAGGGCGCGUAGGCGGCGCGGUAAGCGUGCGGUGAAAGCCCGGGGCUCAACCCCGGGUCGGCCGUGCGGACUGCCGGGCUGGAGCACUGUAGAGGCAGGUGGAAUUCCGGGUGUAGCGGUGGAAUGCGUAGAGAUCCGGAAGAACACCGGUGGCGAAGGCGGCCUGCUGGGCAGUAGCUGACGCUGAAGCGCGACAGCGUGGGGAGCAAACAGG
rnacentral:rRNA from 1 species